rnacentral:rRNA from 1 species
AGUGAACGCUGGCGGUAGGCCUAACACAUGCAAGUCGAACGGCAGCACAGUAAGAGCUUGCUCUUACGGGUGGCGAGUGGCGGACGGGUGAGGAAUACAUCGGAAUCUACUUUUUCGUGGGGGAUAACGUAGGGAAACUUACGCUAAUACCGCAUACGACCUACGGGUGAAAGCAGGGGAUCUUCGGACCUUGCGCGAUUGAAUGAGCCGAUGUCGGAUUAGCUAGUUGGCGGGGUAAAGGCCCACCAAGGCGACGAUCCGUAGCUGGUCUGAGAGGAUGAUCAGCCACACUGGAACUGAGACACGGUCCAGACUCCUACGGGGGGCAGCAGUGGGGAAUAUUGGACAAUGGGCGCAAGCCUGAUCCAGCCAUACCGCGUGGGUGAAGAAGGCCUUCGGGUUGUAAGGCCCUUUUGUUGGGAAAGAAAAGCAGCAGGUUAAUACCCCGCUGUUCUGACGGUACCCAAAGAAUAAGCACCGGCUAACUUCGUG